rnacentral:rRNA from 1 species
AACGUCGCAAGACCAAAGUGGGGGACCUUCGGGCCUCACACCAUCGGAUGUGCCCAGAUGGGAUUAGCUAGUAGGUGGGGUAAUGGCUCACCUAGGCGACGAUCCCUAGCUGGUCUGAGAGGAUGACCAGCCACACUGGAACUGAGACACGGUCCAGACUCCUACGGGAGGCAGCAGUGGGGAAUAUUGCACAAUGGGCGCAAGCCUGAUGCAGCCAUGCCGCGUGUAUGAAGAAGGCCUUCGGGUUGUAAAGUACUUUCAGCGGGGAGGAAGGCGGUGAGGUUAAUAACCUUGCCGAUUGACGUUACCCGCAGAAGAAGCACCGGCUAACUCCGUGCCAGCAGCCGCGGUAAUACGGAGGGUGCAAGCGUUAAUCGGAAUUACUGGGCGUAAAGCGCACGCAGGCGGUCUGUUAAGUCAGAUGUGAAAUCCCCGGGCUUAACCUGGGAACUGCAUUUGAAACUGGCAGGCUUGAGUCUCGUAGAGGGGGGUAGAAUUCCAGGUGUAGCGGUGAAAUGCGUAGAGAUCUGGAGGAAUACCGGUGGCGAAGGCGGCCCCCUGGACGAAGACUGACGCUCAGGUGCGAAAGCGUGGGGGAG